UGGUUAUAAUAGCAAAGAGGAUACACCUGUUCCCAUUCCGAACACAGAAGUUAAGCUCUUUAGCGCUGAUGGUACUUGGUGGGAAACUCCAGUUCGAAUCU
rnacentral:rRNA from 1 species